CAGCAGCCGCGGGAAUACGGAGGAUCCGAGCGUUAUCCGGAUUUAUUGGGUUUAAAGGGUGCGUAGGCGGCCUAUUAAGUCAGGGGUGAAAGACGGUAGCUUAACUAUCGCAGUGCCUUUGAUACUGAUGGGCUUGAAUGUACUUGAAGUGGGCGGAAUGUGACAAGUAGCGGUGAAAUGCAUAGAUAUGUCACAGAACACCGAUUGCGAAGGCAGCUCACUAAAGUAUGAUUGACGCUGAGGCACGAAAGCGUGGGGAUCAAACAGGAUUAGAUACCCCAGUAGUCCCUGUCUCUUAUAC
rnacentral:rRNA from 1 species